rnacentral:rRNA from 1 species
GAUGAACGCUGGCGGCGUGCCUAAUACAUGCAAGUCGAGCGAACGGACGAGAAGCUUGCUUUUCUGAUGUUAGCGGCGGACGGGUGAGUAACACGUGGAUAACCUACCUAUAAGACUGGGAUAACUUCGGGAAACCGGAGCUAAUACCGGAUAAUAUUUUGAACCGCAUGGUUCAAAAGUGAAAGACGGUCUUGCUGUCACUUAUAGAUGGAUCCGCGCUGCAUUAGCUAGUUGGUAAGGUAACGGCUUACCAAGGCAACGAUGCAUAGCCGACCUGAGAGGGUGAUCGGCCACACUGGAACUGAACCCCGGUCCAGACUCCUACGGGAGGCAGCAGUAGGGAAUCUUCCGCAAUGGGCGAAAGCCUGACGGAGCAACGCCGCGUGAGUGAUGAAGGUCUUCGGAUCGUAAAACUCUGUUAUUAGGGAAGAACAUAUGUGUAAGUAACUGUGCACAUCUUGACGGUACCUAAUCAGAAAGCCACGGCUAACUACGUG